rnacentral:lncRNA from 1 species
AUGCUUCCUCCGCUCUCAAUACCAUCUGUUCUGCCUCAACUCUCAGACCACCUUCCAUUCGUAAGCUCCCAUCCGUCAGCCCCCAUCCGUCAGCCUCCAUCCGUCAGCUCCCAUCCGUCAGCCUCCAUCCGUCAGCCUCCAUCCGUCAGCUCCCAUCUGUCAGCCUCCAUCCGUCAGCUCCCAUCUGUCAGCCUCCAUCCGUCAGCUCCCAUCCGUCAGCCUCCAUCAGUCAGCUCCCAUCAGUCAGCUCCCAUCCGUCAGCUCCCAUCAGUCAGCUCCCAUCCGUCAGCUCCCAUCAGUCAGCUCCUAUCCGUCAGCUCCCAUCCGUCAGCCUCCAUCCGUCAGCCUCCAUCCGUCAGCCUCCAUCCGUCAGCUCCCAUCAAUCAGCUCCCAUCCAUCAGCUCCCAUCCAUCAGCUCCCAUCCAUCAGCUCCCAUCCAUCAGCUCCCAUCCAUCAGCUCCCAUCCAUCAGCCCCCAUCCAUCAGCCCCCAUCCAUCAGCUCCCAUCCAUCAGCCCCCAUCCAUCAGCUCCCAUCCAUCAGCCCCCAUCCAUCAGCUCCCAUCCGUCAGCCCCCAUCCGUGCAGAUGUGUAUGUUUUUGGGGGGUUCCAGCUUGUAUGUGCAGAUGUGUAUGUUUUUGGGGGGUUCAGCUUGUAUGUGCAGAUGUGUAUGUUUUUGGGGGGUUCAGCUUGUAUGUGCAGAUGUGUAUGUUUUUGGGGGGUCCAGCUUGUAUGUGCAGAUGUGUAUGUUUUUGGGGGGUCCAGCUUGUAUGUGCAGAUGUGUAUGUUUUUGGGGGGUUCAGCUUGUAUGUGCAGAUGUGUAUGUUUUUGGGGGGUUCAGCUUGUAUGUGCAGAUGUGUAUGUUUUUGGGGGGUUCAGCUUGUAUGUGCUGAUAUUGAGUUUUUACCUGCCAAGUUUUAUUGGAAUGUAACUGUUAUGAAAGUUGUCCAUUUGUUUUGGGAUUUAAACACCCCUUUAAAGGUGUACAUGACACUGGAACAACAUUUCCCCCCUGGGGACAAUAAAGUCUGUAAAGUAGGGCCUACGUGUAGUAAUAACAGAGUGGCUCCACCUACAUGUAGUAAUAACAGAGUGGCUCCACCUACAUGUAGUAAUAACAGAGUGGCUCCACCUACAUGUAGUAAUAACAGAGUGGCUCCACCUACAUGUAGUAAUAACAGAGUGGCUCCACCUACAUGUAGUAAUAACAGAGUGGCUCCACCUACAUGUAGUAAUAACAGAGUGGCUCCACCUACAUGUAGUAAUAACAGAGUGGCUCCACCUACAUGUAGUAAUAACAGAGGGGUGAGGAGGAGCUCCACCUACAGUGGGGCAAAACAAGAAUUUAGUCAGCCACCAAUUGUGCAAGUUCUCCCACUUAAAAAGAUGAGAGAGGCCUGUCAUUUUCGUUUUCAUUUUCGUCAUUUUCGUCAACUAUGA